rnacentral:rRNA from 1 species
GAACGAUGAAGCUAAUNAUCAUUUAUGGUAAGCUAGUGGAUUAGUGGCGCACGGGUGAGUAAUAUAUAGAUAACGUGCCUCUUAGUCUGGGAUAGCCAUUGGAAACGAUGAUUAAUACUGGAUACUCCUUCUAACUCUAAUGUUAGUCGGGAAAGUUUUUCGCUAAGAGAUCGGUCUAUAUCCCAUCAGCUUGUUGGUAGUGUAAGAGACUACCAAGGCUAUGACGGGUAGCGGGUUUGAGAGGAUGAUCCGCCACACUGGUACUGAGACACGGACCAGACUCCUACGGGAGGCAGCAGUGAGGAAUAUUGCACAAUGGAGGAAACUCUGAUGCAGCAACGCCGCGUGGAGGAUGACGCAUUUCGGUGUGUAAACUCCUUUUAUAUGUCAAGAAAAUGACGGUAGCAUAUGAAUAAGCACCGGCUAACUCCGUGCCAGCAGC